rnacentral:rRNA from 1 species
UACGUAGGCAGCGAGCGUUGUUCGGAGUUACUGGGCGUAAAGGGUGUGUAGGCGGUUUUUUAAGUUUGGUGUGAAAUCUCCCGGCUCAACCGGGAGGGUGCGCCAGAAUAGCUGAGGGACUAGAGGUGCGGGAAGAGGGAAAAGUUCGGAAGUUCCUGGUGUAGCGGUUGAAAUGCGUAGAUAUCGGGAGGAACACCAGUGGCGAAGGCGACUUCCUGGCCUGUUCUUGACGCUGAGGCGCGAAAGCUAGGGUAGCAAACGGG